rnacentral:rRNA from 1 species
UACGGAGGAUCCGAGCGUUAUCCGGAUUUAUUGGGUUUAAAGGGUGCGCAGGCGGGAGAUUAAGUCGGCGGUGAAAUUUUGCAGCUUAACUGUAAAAGUGCCUUCGAAACUGGUUUCCUUGAGUGUAGAUGAAGUAGGCGGAAUUUGUGGUGUAGCGGUGAAAUGCAUAGAUAUCACGAGGAACUCCGAUUGCGCAGGCAGCUUACUAAACUACUACUGACGCUCAGGCACGAAGGCGUGGGGAUCAAACAGGAUUAGAUACCCGGGUAGUCCCU